AGAGUUUGAUCCUGGCUCAGGACGAACGCUGGCGGCGUGCCUAAUACAUGCAAGUAGAACGCUGAAGAGAGGAGCUUGCUCUUCUUGGAUGAGUUGCGAACGGGUGAGUAACGCGUAGGUAACCUGCCUUGUAGCGGGGGAUAACUAUUGGAAACGAUAGCUAAUACCGCAUAACAAUGGAUGACACAUGUCAUUUAUUUGAAAGGGGCAAUUGCUCCACUACAAGAUGGACCUGCGUUGUAUUAGCUAGUAGGUGAGGUAACGGCUCACCUAGGCGACGAUACAUAGCCGACCUGAGAGGGUGAUCGGCCACACUGGGACUGAGACACGGCCCAGACUCCUACGGGAGGCAGCAGUAGGGAAUCUUCGGCAAUGGGGGCAACCCUGACCGAGCAACGCCGCGUGAGUGAAGAAGGUUUUCGGAUCGUAAAGCUCUGUUGUAAGUCAAGAACGAGUGUGAGAGUGGAAAGUUCACACUGUGACGGUAGCUUACCAGAAAGGGACGGCUAACUACGUGCCAGCAGCCGCGGUAAUACGUAGGUCCCGAGCGUUGUCCGGAUUUAUUGGGCGUAAAGCGAGCGCAGGCGGUUUGAUAAGUCUGAAGUUAAAGGCUGUGGCUCAACCAUAGUUCGCUUUGGAAACUGUCAAACUUGAGUGCAGAAGGGGAGAGUGGAAUUCCAUGUGUAGCGGUGAAAUGCGUAGAUAUAUGGAGGAACACCGGUGGCGAAAGCGGCUCUCUGGUCUGUAACUGACGCUGAGGCUCGAAAGCGUGGGGAGCGAACAGGAUUAGAUACCCUGGUAGUCCACGCCGUAAACGAUGAGUGCUAGGUGUUGGAUCCUUUCCGGGAUUCAGUGCCGCAGCUAACGCAUUAAGCACUCCGCCUGGGGAGUACGACCGCAAGGUUGAAACUCAAAGGAAUUGACGGGGGCCCGCACAAGCAGUGGAGUAUGUGGUUUAAUUCGACGCAACGCGAAGAACCUUACCAAGUCUUGACAUCCUGCGACGGUGCUGGAAACAGUACUUUCCUUCGGGACGCAGAGACAGGUGGUGCAUGGUUGUCGUCAGCUCGUGUCGUGAGAUGUUGGGUUAAGUCCCGCAACGAGCGCAACCC
rnacentral:rRNA from 1 species